rnacentral:rRNA from 1 species
AGAGUACGUGAAACCGUUUAGGGGUAAACCUGAGAAACCCGAAAAGUCGAAGGGAGAAAUUCACCGCGGUUCGACGAAGGUGACGGUUCGGCGAGUGACUGCGCUCUUUUUGCAGCGCGGCGCCGUCGUUCCGUGCGUUAUCGACGACGAACGCGUGCACUUUUCUCCCGGUAGGACGUCGCGAUCCGUUGGGCGUCGGUCUACGGCUGACGGUGGAGACCGCGAGUCGUUCUUCGGAACGUACGCGCGGACCCGUUUGCACCCCGACCGACUCGCUCGACGGUAUACGAACGGUUAGGGGCCGCUUUUAGAGCGUCCGACUCGUGUGGCCUUCGGGACGCGCGAUGUUCUCGGACAGACCUCUCACGAUAAAAACCGAUCUGCGACGCUAUAGCUUUGGGUACUUUCAGG